UUAUUUAUAAAAUUUAAUUAGAAUAUAUGAACUAUAUUUUAAAUAUUUAAAUAUAACUAUUAAAUAUUUGUAAUUAGUAUUUUAAAAAAAAAAUUAUUUUUAAUUAAUGAUUUUACCACAUUUGUAAUUAAAUACCAAGAAAAAAAAAAGAAAGUACUAUGUUAUUAGAAGGGUGAAAAAAUAAUUAAGCACUAAAAAUACUUUUUGGAGAGAAAAAGCUAAAAAUUUUAAUUUCUCCUUUUCAGAAGUGCUUUUCAAAAGCAUUUCUGAAAAACUAAAAAUUUCAGCCAAAAACAACUUAUUCUGCACAGCUUUUCUUCUAGAAGUGCUUUGGAGUCAGAAGUGUUUUUGAAAAACAAUGCAGAACUGGCUCUAACUCCCAAAGAAGUAUCCUUUAAGGACCUAUUUAUAAGGCCCAAUUUUUGCCCGGGCCUAUAGAUUAAAAACAAUAAAUAAACCAAAAAUAAAACCAAAAUAAAAUUUUUCAGUCCAAUCCAUUUACAAAUUACACUUAUGGCCCAACAUGCCCAAUAAACUUAACUACCUAGCCUAUUUACAAGAAAACUAUCACAGCCCAAAAAUUAAAGACACCCAACCCAAAUCAAAACAAGCCCGAUAGGCCCAUCUCCUUAAUAGCUUUUAGAAAACCCUAGGGCAAAGGGCUUCUCGCGCCGCAAGCAUCCACCAGGAGAUUCACGCUCCGGCCUCCCCAACGCACGUGCGCUUCCGUUCCUCUGUCCACGCCCACGAACGGUUUUUCCACGCCAUACACACCUGCAACAGAAAACAACCAAGUAGUAAUUGACAGCAGAUCACAGCGAAUUACAGCAAGGAAUUUGUAUUUUCUUUUAUUUAUUUAUUUUAUUUUUCUUUUUCGGCUAUAAAACUGAAGGAAAAUGAUGUAAAUGGGAUCUUUUUCUUUUCUCCCUCUUUUCACGAAGAAAAUAGCAGAGAAAUACACACGGAUACUAAAAAAUCAAUUUGAAAUUAGUUUUAAGGUGAUUUUAGAUCGUGUUCUUCCUUGAUUUUCGUUUCCAUUUCAUCAUUCUUUAUCUAUUGCAUGAAAAUAAAUCUAUAAGGAGAAAAGGAGACUUAUCUAUUGUUGAAGGAGGCUUCGAAAUCCUUGUUUGCUUCGUCGUAAUCGAAGUCAAGGCGAAGAUUUGAAGCUUGUGAGCAAGGCUCUCGGAUUUGUGGUCGAACGGGACCAGACUUGGCCUUUGCUUGAUGGCCGUCAGCCGAAUAUGGAGGCAAAGCGGCAGUGGAAAGGUGCCUUAGGUUCGGCCGAGUAAAUGGGAAUAGGUCUUUGGUAUUUUUUUAAUUUUAAUUUGCUUUUAAGUGGCUGAAUGUUGGAUUUUAGGUUUUUUAGGCUUGAUUUUGUAUGAAAUUUGAAACGGUGCCGUGUAGGGGGUGAGAUCCACGCGUCAACCCGAUUAGCAGGCCGGAUCUUCACCUUUUCGUUCAAAAUGGGAAAAUUUCACGUUAGAUCCUUCCCCUCUUGCGAGCAUUCAAUUGCGCUUUAGUUAUUCUAUUUUGUUUUUUUAAAAUUUGGCUUUAUAAUUUGCGCGCAUUUUCAUUUUAGUCUGCGAUAUAGCGCAGCGUUUCAGGAUCGAGGCUAUUUUCAGCUUUGGUCCCUGUGAAUUCGCGCGCAUUGCGCAUUAGUCCUCAGUUUAAUUUCAAGAAUUUGUAAAUUAUCCCUUUUAUUUUAAUUUUAUUUCAAAUAAGUUUUUUCAUCUUUUUUUUAUUCAUUUCACAUUCAUUUUUAAU
rnacentral:lncRNA from 1 species